rnacentral:tRNA from 1 species
GCCCCCAUAGCUCAGUGGAUAGAGCACAUCGGUUCUAACGAUUAGGUCGGAGGUUCAAAUCCCCCUGGGGGCA